ACUGAGACAUGGUGGGCAGACUCAAACGCAAAUGUUAAAUUCUACACCAAUAGGACGGUGAGGGGGCGUGUUCAUAGAGCUGCCAGUUCCUGCCCAAGUGUUGUGAUUGCAGUCUGAGUUGAGAACGCGCGUCUGCCUGUGGUUCGGCGCGCUCUUUCGCUGCUGUUUAUAGCGCUCUGGGAAUACUAAUCUCAUCUUUGAGGGGACAAACAACGAAUAAGCUUUCUAUUCUUCGAGGCGACUUUUUCGCUUCUGCGACAGCGUCAUCUGUGCAAGAAGGAGCUGAAUAUUUCCCAGCAGUGAAAAGAGGCGAGGAAAUAAUAUAGUUGGUGACAUUUCCUGGCUCCUGACCUUUCUCCAUCCUUUGGUAACACUUCCUCUCCUGCUCAUUGGAUCACAGCAGCCCAUCUGUUGGUAAAUGCUCUGGUCAGCGGGAUAACUGUAUGUGUACACCGCCUCCGCCGCCGCCCAGUAAAUAAGGAACCCCGCUCCUUCUACCGGCCAGCUCCAUGCCUUCCAGUCCACUCCAGCAGGGGCCGGCUAAUCCUCUUCCUGGUGGUGGUGGAGGGAUGGCAGGGCGUCCCAAAGCCCUUCGCUGGCCGGACUUCAAAGACCCCAGCGAUACAAGGGGAUUGUGAAGGAGAUGGGCCGGGGAAAGGGGGGAAAGUGAAGUCCGGCCAUAAGCUCUUGGUG
ensembl:lncRNA